rnacentral:tRNA from 1 species
AAGGUUAUAGCUUAAUAGGUAAAGCCAGCUGCUCAUGACAGCUAAGAUGAAUGUUCGAAUCGUUCUAGCCUUA